rnacentral:rRNA from 1 species
AGAUUGAACGCUGGCGGCAUGCCUUACACAUGCAAGUCGAACGGUAGCACGGGGGCAACCCUGGUGGCGAGUGGCGAACGGGUGAGUAAUGCAUCGGAACGUGCCCAGUAGUGGGGGGAUAACUAGUCGAAAGAUUAGCUAAUACCGCAUACGACCUACGGGUGAAAGCGGGGGAUUCGCAAGAACCUCGCGCUAUCGGAGCGGCCGAUGUCUGAUUAGCUAGUUGGCGGGGUAAAAGCCCACCAAGGCUUCGAUCAGUAGCUGGUCUGAGAGGACGACCAGCCACACUGGGACUGAGACACGGCCCAGACUCCUACGGGAGGCAGCAGUGGGGAAUUUUGGACAAUGGGCGCAAGGCCUGGAUCCAGCCAUGCCGCGUGCGGGAAGAAGGCCUUCGGUGUAACCGCUUUGGCGAGGAACGAACGGCGCGAGCGAAAUAUCUCGACGUUAAUAGACGGUACCUGCAGAAUAAGACACCGGACUAACUACGUACGCCAGCAGCCGUA